CCUCUCUCCCAGGGGCUGCCCUUUAUCUUCCACAGGAACAGUUGGUACUCUGGCUGAAUCUAAUUCACCUGGUUGUUUUCCAUACCUCUGCACCACGAGCAGUUCCGCUUGGGCAGAAACAUAACAGUUAAAAUCUGCCACUGUUUCUGCGUUGGCAACAUCUCAUCCAAGAGCAGGACUGUCACACGUCCAGAUACACCUCCUUCUACCCAGAAACUUUGUGCUGUCCCAAAAGGAAGAAGGGUACAGACAUUGUGUAUUGCCUGCUGAAUCUGAGAAACCAAAGAGAAUCUGUUUAAACUGGAAUUCCCUACUGUGGAUAAGAAACAGUGGUUGUUGGUGAC
rnacentral:lncRNA from 1 species